AGUUGAUGAUACAUUAGAAACUCUUUUCUAAUUAUCAUCCUACUUUGGUCAAAGAUGUUCAGAAUCAUCUACCUAUGAGAUCAUAUAGGAUGUUCGCUCCCCUUAUUAGGAGUGAUCGAUCCCUUUUUGACCACUCACAAUCUCUAUGCAUACUUCACCACAUUCAGAACACCCCACACAAGGAUCUGAGAAUUAAGUUAGAAAGUGAACCAAAAUAUAGAUUCAUGUACACAAGAUACCAUAAUGAUCUCAGGUCAA
rnacentral:lncRNA from 1 species